CGUAGAAGAUUUUUUCCUUGAUCUAUUUUAAAUAACUGAAAGUGAUGUAGUGAAUUCUCAUGAUAAGCACAUAAAUCCUAAUAAGAAAUCAGUGGAAAUCAGGUCAGGGCGUACCUCAGUAAAGUCAGGUACCAGGCAUUAAUCGGUUUUUCUCCAAAAAAGUAGCAAGGAAUCCAGGUGGGAAUCAGGAAGCAAAAGAUGGGCAUGAGUAUAAUGUACAACCUGAAAAUAGAAUAAAAGUGAAGUACGAGUAUAUAGGGGAAACCCAGUACCAGGUAGAUCAGUACGAACUGAAUGAUGAAAAAAUUGAAUGGGCUUGAAAUAAAAAUAAUUAUGGGGUCCUUCUCGAGGUCGCUCAUAUCGACUGUGGCACCUUUUUUCACGACGUCAGGAUGCUUUCGUACCAAAAGCCAUCCCAUGUGGGAGAAGAAGAAACCUCUGCCUGCAUUGUGAGGAUCAGCGUCGGUGUCCGUGAAUUUAUGGUGAACUCUGUGGUCUCUUACCCACUCGUAAAUGUGGUUCUAUAAUGAGAAAUAUGCUUUUAUAAUACAACAUAAUCGUUUCAUGUUUGUAAUUUAAUACUUAUAAAAUUGCUUCCUUCAAAAAAUAAG